UCCCUGGUGGUCCAGUGGUUAGGACUCGGUGCUGUCACUGCCGAGGGCCCAGGUUCAAUCCCCUGGUCGGGGAA